rnacentral:sRNA from 4 species
UGCCGCAGGUUCGGGUCUCACGUAGUGAGACAACGGAGCCGCUUGCGGCGACGGCCCGAAGGGCGAGCAAAGCGAGUCAUCCUGCACGACCCACCA